AGUAACAGAGAGUUUAUUUUAGAAUUUCAUUUGUAAUCAUGCAAUAGCGUGAAAAUGGUUCAUUCUAUGAUCUAUGCUCUCAGAGGCUGGAUAGCUUUUGUGGCAUUUAUUAGCAUGGCAACUGCCAUUAGAUGCUAUUUGGAUACAGAAAACUAUUUAGGCAAUCAACUUUUUGCUGGAAGCCAAAAACACAUGCCCGUGACUCCUGGCCUAGGAAGAAUAUUUGGGACCUUCCAUGUCCUGCAGGCUGUCAUUCUUAUUCACAGUGCCUUCAGGAUAGAAUACUAUCCAUUGAUUAGUGCAGCAAUAUGCACUUUGAUGAUAACUAUCAUCUAUUUUGGACUGGAGACUUUUUAUUACAAGACAGCUUACUGUGGAUUCACCACCCUUUUUCCUAUUAUUAUUUCAG